rnacentral:misc_RNA from 1 species
UGGCUCUCGCACCGAUGAAGAACGCAGCGAAAUGCGAUAAGUAAUGUGAAUUGCAGAAUUCAGUGAAUCAUCGAAUCUUUGAACGCACCUUGCACCCUUUGGUAUUCCGAAGGGUACGCCCGUUUGAGUGUCAUUGUAAUCUCACCUCUACAACUUUGUUGCGUGAAGUGGACUUGGACAAUGUUGUGUGAAAACGACUGGUCCUAAAACUAUGAGUGUACCCUGCUGUUGCAGCGUCUUCAGUGUGAUAACAUCUUCACUGAUCAAAGUUCCUUUGGGACACGCAAGCAUUGUGGGCUCUGCGCUUCGAACCGUCUCUGGACAUACUUGACAAUUUGACCUCAAAUCGGGCGGGACUACCCGCUGA